AAGACAACUUCCUUCUGCAAGUAAUAGAGGAGCCGACAAGGAGAGGUGCCAUGCUUGACCUCGUCCUCACCAACAGGGAAGGGCUGGCUGGGAAUGUAACGCUCCAGGGCAGCCUUGAUUGCAGCGAUCAUGAGAUGGUUGAGUUUGAGAUCCUCAGGACAGUGAGAAGAGCGUGCAGCAAGCUCACUGCCCUGGACUUCAAGAGAGCAGACUUUGGCCUCCUCAGGAACCUGCUCAGUAAGGUUCCAUGGGAUACAGCCCUAGAGGGCAGGGGGGCCCAAGACUGUUGGUUGAUAUUCAAGGAUCACCUGCUGCAAGCUCAGGAGCGAUGCAUCCCAACUAGAAGGAAGUUUAGCAGGAGGGCCAGGAGACCUCCUUGGAUGGAUAAGGAGCUGCUGAGCAAAAUUCGAAAGAAAAAAGAGGCUUAUAAAAGGUGGAAGCAAGGUCAGGCGGCCUGGGGAGAAUACAGGGAUGUUGUCCGGGAAGCUAGGGACCAGGUUAGGAAAGCUAAGGCCCACUUAGAAUUAAACUUGACUAGGGAUGUUAAGGAUAACAGGAAGGGAUUUUAUAGGUACAUUGCCAAUAAAAGACAGGUUAGGGACACCGUGGGCCCUCUCCAGAAGCUAUCGGGAGAACUGGCUACCCUGGAUUUGGAGAAGGCUGAGGUUCUUAAUGACUUCUUUGCCUCAGUCUUUACGGGCAAAUGCUCUGACCACACCACCCAAGUCUUGGAAGGCAGACGCGGGGACGGUGAGGGUGGGGACCCUGGGCCCACUGUGGGGGAGGAUCUUGUUCGGGACCACCUUAGGAACCUGAAUGUAUACAAGUCCAUGGGACCGGAUGAAAUCCAUCCAAGGGUCCUGAAGGAGCUGGCAAAUGAAGUUGCUAAGCCACUGUCCAUCAUAUUUGAAAAAUCAUGGCAGUCAGGUGAAGUUCCCGAUGACUGGAAAAAGGGAAAUAUAACCCCCAUUUUUAAGAAGGGGAAAAUGGAUGAGCCAGGGAAUUACAGACCAGUCAGUCUCACCUCUGUGCCUGGCAAAAUCUUGGAGCGGAUUCUCCUGGAAGGCAUGCUAAGGCACAUGAAAACAAACA
rnacentral:lncRNA from 1 species